UUCAUAACAGCAUUGUCUUCUGCCAAAUGCUUUUCCCAGUUGAAAGCUAUUUUCCAAUACAAAGCUGAGUGUUUUAUUUCCUUACCAGCGAUUAGGUAUUUCAGUGAUCAUUUUAUAAGUUAAAAGCUAUAAAUUAAACAAAGAAAAAUCAUCUUCUUUCACAUUUUUGCCUUGUACUCAUACUUUGCUACUAAAAAUUAAAUUCCCAGAAUAUUAGUCUAUUAGCAACCUCUUUGUAGAGAAAUUAACUAUGCUGUACACUACAUAUUUAUUUAUUUAUUAUCCAAGUAUAGCAAAAUAACAAAACAAAACAAAUAAGAUUUGUUAAAACAGUUAUUUGUAACUAAAAAUUAGCUUUCUCUUCUUCCCUUUUAUAUUCCAUGUACAUAUAUAUGAUCAGCGAUUCCAUUAAAGGGAAGCUGGACAUGAAAAAAAAUAGUUUUCUCCCUAUAUUAUACACCAUGUCAUGUAUCAAAUAUGGUGGAUAAAGAAUUUGAAGUAGUGUUCCAAUGACAUUAGUAUCUGUGAGGGGACAAAUGUAGUCAGAGUUUUGAUGGGGUUUAUAAGAAAGCCCUCUUAUAAAGUGUAUAUUACUAUGUAAACAUUUCACUCAAGGGCCAGAAAUUAAAUUAUAACUAAAUUACUGUGUUGUCAGAAUAAUAUUUAACAUCAACAACAAACCCAUGGUCAAACCAAAAAUAGUGGGUUGAAGUCUAUGUUUCAUUUUCUCCUGCAUUGGCAAUUUGGAUGGCAAAGAAAUUUAAUAUAAAGCUGUAAAGAUAAAUUCAGUGUCUAACCUUUCUUUUAUUUAUUUAAAUAGUCGUUUUGGCAUUCUAGUCUUUACAUUUUAUGUCUGUCUUAUACCUGUUCCUUCUUUCCAACACUUGCUUCCUUUAGGUUCACUGAAUGCACAUUAGCCACAUUUCACGUGACUCAACUCCCACACGGUGUUAAUCAUUGGGCCUGUGACACAGAAUGCAUGGAUCUUUAAUACCUACAUGUCCCUGACACUUUUCACUGCAGGGCUGGACUUAAUAACUGACCAACUCGGAGGGGGUGGGCUGGGGUAUUAGAACAUGAUCAAAAUGUCUCUGCUCAGGGAUUUAUGGUGGGUCAUUGCAGACAGUGCUAAAAAUGUAGAGCACAAGACAAGUUUACUAAAUUAAAAUUUUAUUUUUUGAAAAACUGUUAUUUGUAUAAAUUAUCAAGAUUUGUAGGCUUUCCUUUUGUAGAAAUAAUUGUUUUAUGUGCCAGAGAAUUUCAAUUUUGUUUUGAACAAUAAAGCAUUGAUAACAAA
rnacentral:lncRNA from 1 species